GGCCACUGCUAUUGGGGUCCGGCUAAGCCAUGCGAGUGGUGGGCGCGGUCGUAAGACCGUGGCCCCGCGCACGGCUCAGUAACACGUCGUCAACCUACCCUCGGGUCGGGGAUAACCCCGGGAAACUGGGGCUAAUACCCGAUAGGCGAGGGAAGCUGGAAUGCUCCUUCGCCGAAAGCCUUCGGGCGCCCGAGGAUGGGACGGCGGCCUAUCAGGUAGUUGGUGGUGUAACGGACCACCAAGCCUACGACGGGUACGGGCUGUGAGAGCAGGAGCCCGGAGAUGGGGACUGAGACAAGGCCCCAGGCCCUACGGGGCGCAGCAGGCGCGAAAACUCCGCAAUGCGCGAAAGCGUGACGGGGGGACCCCAAGUGCCGCUGUACUUCCGUACGGCGGCUUUUCGGGAGUCUAAAAAGCUCCCGGAAUAAGGGCUGGGUAAGUCUGGUGCCAGCCGCCGCGGUAAUACCAGCAGCCCAAGUGGUGGUCGCGAUUAUUGGGCCUAAAGCGCUCGUAGCCGGGCCGACAAGUCCCUUGUGAAAUCGGGCGGCUCAACCGCUCGGCUUGCAAGGGAUACUGUCGGCCUUGGGGCCGGGAGAGGCCGGAGGUACUCCGGGGGUAGCGGUGAAAUGCUGUAAUCCCCGGGGGACCACCAGUGGCGAAGGCGUCCGGCUAGAACGGGCCCGACGGUGAGGGGCGAAAGCUGGGGGAGCGAACGGGAUUAGAUACCCCGGUAGUCCCAGCCGUAAAGGAUGCGGGCUAGGUGCUGGAUGUCCUUAGGGGGCGUCCAGUGCCGUAGGGAAGCCGUUAAGCCCGCCGCCUGGGAAGUACGGUCGCAAGGCUGAAACUUAAAGAAAUUGGCGGGGGAGCACCACAAGGGGUGGGACCUGCGGUUC
rnacentral:rRNA from 1 species